rnacentral:piRNA from 1 species
UGAGACUAGCCGAUUCCACGUACAGCG